rnacentral:rRNA from 1 species
UACGAAGGGGGCUAGCGUUGCUCGGAAUCACUGGGCGUAAAGGGUGCGUAGGCGGGUCUUUAAGUCAGAGGUGAAAUCCUGGAGCUCAACUCCAGAACUGCCUUUGAUACUGAGGAUCUUGAGUUCGGGAGAGGUGAGUGGAACUGCGAGUGUAGAGGUGAAAUUCGUAGAUAUUCGCAAGAACACCAGUGGCGAAGGCGACUUACUGGACACAUAUUGACGCUGAGGUGCGAAAGCGUGGGGAGCAAACAGG